CAGCCGCCGCGGGAAAACGGAGGGUGCAAGCGUUAUCCGGAUUUAUUGGGUUUAAAGGGUCCGUAGGCGGACUUAUAAGUCAGUGGUGAAAGCCUGUCGCUUAACGAUAGAACUGCCAUUGAUACUGUAAGUCUUGAGUAUAUUUGAGGUAGCUGGAAUAAGUAGUGUAGCGGUAAAAUGCAUAGAUAUUACUUAGAACACCAAUUGCGAAGGCAGGUUACCAAGAUAUAACUGACGCUGAGGGACGAAAGCGUGGGUAGCGAACAGGAUUAGAGACCCGUGUAGUCCCUGUCUCUUAUAU
rnacentral:rRNA from 1 species